rfam:Firmicutes bacterium ML8_F2 scaffold_3, whole genome shotgun sequence.
CCGUGCUAGACGGGGAGGUAGCGGUGCCCUGAACCCGCAAUCCGCUGUAGCGGGGUUGAACCCCUGCCCCCGGCCGCGCAGUUUCAGGAUCAGCCCCGGGAAAGUGGUAUGGAAAGCCUGGUCCCGUGCGGCGCAUGCUCAUGAACCCCGUCAGGUCCGGAAGGAAGCAGCGGUAAAUGAGAUUUUGCGGGUGCCACGGGAGCGCCGGGCUGGAGCUAACUACCUGGUAAGCGCCUGGAGGUGCCGGUCAAAGGCAGGUGCGCGG